GGGAAUGUGGCUUAGUGGUAGAGUACUUGCUUUGCAUGCAUGAAGCCCUGGGUUCAAUUCCUCAGUACCA
rnacentral:tRNA from 1 species